rnacentral:rRNA from 1 species
GACAGAGGCCUCGAGCGUUAGGCGGAAUCACUGGGCUUAAAGCGUGUGUAGGCGGAUGCCUAAGUACCUUGUGAAAUCCCACGGCUCAACCGUGGAACUGCUGGGUAUACUGGGUGUCUUGGGCCAUUCAGGGGCAACUGGAACAAGCGGUGGAGCGGUGAAAUGCGUAGAUAUCGCUUGGAACGCCAAAGGUGAAGACAGGUUGCUGGGGAUGCGCCGACGCUGAGACACGAAAGCCAGGGGAGCAAACGGG